GGGGAUGUGGCUCAAACGGUAGCGCGCUCGCCUGGCAUGCGUGAGGCCCGUGGUUCCAUCCCCA
rnacentral:tRNA from 1 species